rnacentral:tRNA from 1 species
GCUGGCGUAGCUCAGUUGGUAGAGCAUCUGAUUUGUAAUCAGAGGGUCAGGGGUUCAAAUCCCUUCGCCAGCU